AUUGAACGCUGGCGGCAGGCCUAACACAUGCAAGUCGAGCGAGCGGCGGACGGGUGAGGAAUGUAUGGGGACUGCCCGAUAGAUGGGGAUAAAUACUGGAAACGGUAGCUAAUACCGCAUACUAUCGGAUCACCCAGAUGGGAUUAGAUAGUAGGUGAGGUAAUGGCUCACCUAGGCGACGAUCCCUAGCUGGUCUGAGAGGAUGAUCAGCCACACUGGGACUGAGACACGGCCCAGAUUCCUACGGAGGCAGCAGUGGGGAAUAUUGCACAAUGGGCGAAAGCCUGAUGCAGCCAUGCCGCGUGUAUGAAGAAGGCCCUAGGGUUGUAAAGUACUUUCAGUCGGGAGGCGUUACCGACACAAGAAGCACCGGCUAACUCCGUGCCAGCAGCCUCGGUAAUAC
rnacentral:rRNA from 1 species